rnacentral:rRNA from 1 species
UACACUCCUACGGGAGGCAGCAGUGGGGAAUUUUGGACAAUGGGCGAAAGCCUGAUCCAGCCAUGCCGCGUGCAGGAUGAAGGCCUUCGGGUUGUAAACUGCUUUUGUACGGAACGAAACGGCCUUUUCUAAUAAAGAGGGCUAAUGACGGUACCGUAAGAAUAAGCACCGGCUAACUACGUGCCAGCAGCCGCGGUAAUACGUAGGGUGCAAGCGUUAAUCGGAAUUACUGGGCGUAAAGCGUGCGCAGGCGGUUAUGUAAGACAGUUGUGAAAUCCCCGGGCUCAACCUGGGAACUGCAUCUGUGACUGCAUAGCUAGAGUACGGUAGAGGGGGAUGGAAUUCCGCGUGUAGCAGUGAAAUGCGUAGAUAUGCGGAGGAACACCGAUGGCGAAGGCAAUCCCCUGGACCUGUACUGACGCUCAUGCACGAAAGCGUGGGGAGCAAACAGGAUUAGAAACCCCUGUAGUCC